CGGCGUGCCUAACACAUGUCAAGUCGAAGCGGAGAUUGCUUAGAUGAGAGCUUCGGCAGGAGUUCCGGUAAUUCAGCGGCGGACGGUGAGUAACGCGUGAGCAUCUGUCUCAGACGAGGGGGAUAACGCGAGCGAAAGUUGCACUAAUACCGCAUGAGACCACAACGUCACAUGACGAAGGGGUCAAAGGAGCAAUCCGGUCUGAGGUGAGCUCGCGUCCCAUUAGGUAGUUGGUGAGGUAACGGCCCACCAAGCCGACGAUGGGUAGCCGACCUGAGAGGGUGAUCGGCCACACUGGAACUGAGACACGGUCCAGACUCCUACGGGAGGCAGCAGUGGGGAAUAUUGGGCAAUGGGCGAAAGCCUGACCCAGCAACGCCGCGUGAGUGAAGAAGGUCUUCGGAUUGUAAAUCUCUGUCCUAAGAGAAGAGGGGAAGACGGUAUCUUAGGAGGAAGCCCCGGCUAACUACGUGCCAGCAGCGGC
rnacentral:rRNA from 1 species